GAUGAACGCUGGCGGCGUGCCUAAUACAUGCAAGUCGAACGAAACUUCUUUAUCACCGAGUGCUUGCACUCACCGAUAAAGAGUUGAGUGGCGAACGGGUGAGUAACACGUGGGCAACCUGCCCAAAAGAGGGGGAUAACACUUGGAAACAGGUGCUAAUACCGCAUAACCAUAGUUACCGCAUGGUAACUAUGUAAAAGGUGGCUAUACUACCGCUUUUGGAUGGGCCCGCGGCGCAUUAGCUAGUUGAUAGGGUAAAGGCUUACCAAGGCAAUGAUGCGUAGCCGAAUUGAGAGGUUGAUCGGCCACAUUGGGACUGAGACACGGCCCAAACUCCUACGGGAGGCAGCAGUAGGGAAUCUUCCGCAAUGGGCGAAAGCCUGAUGGAGCAACGCCGCGUGGGUGAAGAAGGUCUUCGGAUCGUAAAACCCUGUUGUUAGAGAAGAAAGUGCGUGAGAGUAACUGUUCACGUUUCGACGGUAUCUAACCAGAAAGCCACUGCUAACUACGUG
rnacentral:rRNA from 1 species